rnacentral:tRNA from 1 species
GCACUCGUAGUAUAGUGGUUAGUAUGGGAGCUUGCCAAGCUUUCGGCCCGGGUUCGACCCCCGGCGAGUGCA